rnacentral:rRNA from 1 species
UACGAAGGGUGCAAGCGUUAAUCGGAAUUACUGGGCGUAAAGGGUGCGUAGGCGGUUCGUUAAGUCUGUCGUGAAAUCCCCGGGCUCAACCUGGGAAUGGCGAUGGAUACUGGCGAGCUAGAGUGUGUCAGAGGAUGGUGGAAUUCCCGGUGUAGCGGUGAAAUGCGUAGAGAUCGGGAGGAACACCGGUGGCGAAGGCGGGUCUCUGGGCAAUUCCUGACGCUGAGGCGCGAAAGCGUGGGGAGCAAACGGG